AGGGGAUGGGUGUUUAGAUAAGAUAUCCCCAACUUAGCCAAAAAGAAGAUUCUCUUAAGAGUUGAAAGACUUUUCUGUUGAGAGCCAUGGGAGUGUGAAGUAGAGAAAUUCUAGGCAGGAGGCAAGGCUGAGGAAGCAAACACGAAGAAUCAACCACAUACCCCUAAGUGGUCUGUUUAAGAGCUCCCUGCAUCAUGAUCAUAGCUGCAUUUCCAGAUUGGUGUCCAGUUUUAUUCAAAUCCGAUAACACUCCUACCUGGGAAGUCAAGAAAGAAUAACUCACAGCAGGCUCUGAGCAAACACAAGAAAGAUUUCUAUCCACUCUCCUGCAAGAAUGUUGGUGCACCCUUUUAGACAUAAAUCUACUGGAAACACUGAAGGUAGCUGACAGUGACUUAAUUUUUUCCAAGCAAAUGACAUCUUUCUUUGAGACAAAAGACUAUUAGAGUAUCUGAAGUGAUGUGAGA
rnacentral:lncRNA from 1 species